UACAGAGGUCCCAAGCGUUGUUCGGAUUUACUGGGCGUAAAGGGUGCGUAGGUGGCGAGGUAAGUUCGAUGUGAAAUCUCCGAGCUCAACUCGGAAAUGGCAUUGAAUACUAUCCCGCUUGAGGGUCGGAGGGGAGACUGGAAUUCUCGGUGUAGCAGUGAAAUGCGCAGAUAUCAGGAGGAACACCAAUGGCGAAGGCAGCUCGCUGGGACGGUACUGACGCUGAGACGCGAAAGCGUGGGGAGCAAACAGG
rnacentral:rRNA from 1 species